GCUAAGGCAGAUAUUUCCAGAGGUACAAACAGAGCGGAUGGUUGCAUGAUGGCCUCUUUCAGUUUUGUCAACUGAGCGUCUACUAGUGAGGCUCAGCAAGUUCUUGUCAUGAUCAGCCCUCUCCAAGAAAGGUUUGUAGAAAAUUGUAAUCAAUAUUCAUUUAAUCCUCUAACCUGAAUCUUUUGGUGAAUUAACUUAAUUAUAUCUGUCUUAAUUCAUAUGUUUAACCAGCAAUAGUAAUUAAACAUGGGGUUAAUAGACAUAUUUUUGUUUUACAGCUGAAGAGCAAAAACACAAACAACAUCAGUCCUGUUGGGGAUGAGGAAUGAACAUGGCUCUAUUGUGCCCAAAUAGAAAAGAGUGAAAAGACUAAAGAGAAGUGGGUCUGAGGCCAGAGAUGGAGGAGUCAGUGGUCACCAAAUGCAGCGCUGCAGCCUGAAACUGUGAAGACUGGAUUCCCAAACAGCUCUGUGACCGCACAGAUGUUACGGCCAUAAAAGAAACUUCACAACUGAGAGCCCAUACCUCCAACAACCUUCAACAGGAAUCAAUGGACAUCUACGCAAGGUUUUUCUUUUGUUGAGGACCGUCAGAGACUCCAGCCAGACGAACCAUGGAUUGCUCUCACUGUUACCAUCAGACAGACAUUAUCACAGAACCAGCACCAGCAGACUGCAAGACAAGUUCCUUCCACAGGCAAUCAGACUGAACUAAAUUCGUACCAGUAACACCACACACACACACACACACACACACACACACACACACACACACACACACACACACACACACACACACACACACACACACACACACACACCAGCAGCUCAUACUGUAUGCACUGCACUCUAUCAGCUACACUGACUGGACUCUCACUCACUAUUAUUCUGCAGCCUGAUAUUCUGUUUGCACUAAUUCAUACU